rnacentral:lncRNA from 1 species
UGCAAUACAACCUAAUACAUAACAUGGCAGGUUAUGAUGCAUGGAUCAUGCUAGAAUCGUGUCAUUUCUCAAAAUAAAAUAUUCAGUUUAGUUCCACUCACCUCUGCUCUUCUGGCAGAUACUGUACUGACUCUGAUAUCUCUAACUCUGUUGACCUCCUCGAACUCUCGGGUCCAAUCCUACACAAAUGGACUCGAAUGAGGUGUCACACAUACUUUGAAUAGCUCUUACACAAAUCCCCAUAAUCCCCGCUAAACCUCUGAACAUAAUCACAUAACUCAUGCAAAAGAAGGCUGGACAGAACACAUUCGGCAGCAGGUUCGGCGGCCGAAUGUCCUCUCCAGAGCCAAAACUCAAGUAUCUUCGGCGACACCUUCGGCGGCCGAAUGUGCAUGACAGAUCCGAAAGUCCAUUCUUUCGGAGGCAACCUUAGGCAGCCGAAACUACCUCCACAAGGGGUUCGGCGGCCGAAUCUUCACUUCGGCGGCCGAA